GUGGUUGGCCAGACAGUCGCUGCCAGUUGGUUUUCCAACUGGUGGAGGAAAGUCCGGACUUUAUAGAGCAAAGUGCCAGGUAACGCCUGGGGGGCGAAAGCCUACGGAAAGUGCAGCAGAAAAUAAACCGCCUGAUUUGAUUUCGGCCAUAUUGGUUUAGAUCAUAUCCGGUAAGGGUGAAAUGGUGCGGUAAGAGCGCACCGCGUCAAUGGUAACAUCUGACGGCAAGGUAAACCCCACUUGAAGCAAGACCAAAUAGGCUCUCAAGAUGACUCAGGUUAUCAACGUGUUGCUCGUACGGAGAGCGGGUAGGUCGCAUGAGCGUAAUGGUGACAUUGCGCCAAGAUGAAUGACUGUCCACGACAGAAUCCGGCUUAUCGGCUAACCACCUAA
rnacentral:RNase_P_RNA from 1 species